rnacentral:rRNA from 1 species
GGAUUAGAUACCCUGGUAGUCCACGCUGUAAACGAUGAGUACUAGCUGUUGGUUCUGGUGUAAAAGAAUUAGUGACUCAGUUAACGCGAUAAGUACUCCGCCUGGGGACUACGACCGCAAGGUUAAAACUCAAAGGAAUUGACGGGGACCCGCACAAGCGGUGGAGCAUGUGGUUUAAUUCGAUGCAACGCGAAGAACCUUACCUACCCUUGACAUCCACAGAAGACAGAAGAGAUUUUGUUGUGCCUUCGGGAACUGUGAGACAGGUGCUGCAUGGCUGUCGUCAGCUCGUGCCG